UCAAUCCGAUCCAAUCCGACUUAAAGUUCGGAUUUGAUCCGAAUUGAUAAUUCGAUCUGGAUUGGAUUUCGAUUUUAAUCCGAAUUGUGGACACCCGUACCCCUCUCUCUCCUCCUCUUUCUGUCUUUCACCCUCUAUCCUCCUCUUCUCUUCUUCCUCAAGAUCGAGUUGGCCAGUCCUAGCAAUGACGGCAUUAGCGCUAUGAGUUGAUACAAAUCCACCUUUCAUCGUUUCCCCCUCUCGAAAUGAUCGAUUUUCCUAAAAUGUGGCUUUCUCAAUUACACGCAGCACUGCAAAUUACUCAAUUUUGACGACAUUUAAAUAAAUCGAUUAAACAGCAAAGACGGCCAUGAAAAUUGACAUCGAACGCGAAGGCAACACAUAUUUGAUCACCAUGGGGAAAGACAAAAUCACGGCUACAUGUCCAAAGAGACUCUAUCCAUGGUCAGAGCAAUCGCAGUCGGAGGCGAAGGAGUGGGUCAGUAAUGUUAAAAAGAUUUAUCGAAACAGGAACAAGAAGCAACCCCUUGUGGUUGGCCUCUACGCAGUUCGGAAAUUCGACCAUUCUGAUGGUCAAGCAGAGUUAUAUCUUAAGCCUAAGCAGGUUAAAUGUAUGCAAAUCCUUUCCCUAUCCUUCAAUUCUAUGUUUUAUGAUGAAUUUAUACAAUUUGCUGUUUAAAGUUUUUAACCAUAUAAUAAGAAUUAUACCUUAACCAAAUGUAGCAUAUUCUUAAUAUAUGAUAAGAACUUCAUAAGUCCAUAAUAGGUAUCUUCUAUCUUGUAUAGAAAGUAUGUGAAUAAUGUGGAUGUCAACGAGGUUGAUUAAAUUCUUAGGGUAAUAUAUGAGUAUAUGAUGUGUAAUCAUAUGAACCACGAGUAUAUGAGGUCUUUUCUGACUAAUUGUGGAAUUGAUUUAUUGGAGUGUGUAUUUUCUAGAUGCUGGGUAUUGUAUUGUUCUUUGUAAAAUUUGGACUGGUGUUCCAAAAUGUUGCCUUCAAGUCUUCAGUGUUGUGUAUUCAGAAAAGGAAAACUUUUGUAUACACCCGGUUUUCAGUAAUUUACUGUACAUUGGGUACACUUUUGUCA